AUACGGAGGAUCCGAGCGUUAUCCGGAUUUAUUGGGUUUAAAGGGAGCGUAGGUGGAUUGUUAAGUCAGUUGUGAAAGUUUGCGGCUCAACCGUAAAAUUGCAGUUGAAACUGGCAGUCUUGAGUACAGUAGAGGUGGGCGGAAUUCGUGGUGUAGCGGUGAAAUGCUUAGAUAUCACGAAGAACUCCGAUUGCGAAGGCAGCUCACUAGACUGUUACUGACACUGAUGCUCGAAAGUGUGGGUAUCAAACAGGAUUAGAUACCCUGGUAGUCCACACAGUAAACGAUGAAUACUCGCUGUUUGCGAUAUACAGUAAGCGGCCAAGCGAAAGCAUUGAGUAUUCCACCUGGGGAGUACGCCGGCAACGGUGAAACUCAAAUGAAUUGACGGGG
rnacentral:rRNA from 1 species